CUCGACGGAGCUCUUUAUGCUUUUGAUUGUUGCUCAGAAAGCCUUGAUUACAAUAUUGGCUUUCGGGCAAUAAUCAUAAUCACGGAAGGGCUCAGAUUGUCACCGUCGCCUUGC
rnacentral:pre_miRNA from 1 species